AGAAGCCGGUUCCCAUCCCGGAGACGGCGGAGAAUGUGGUCUGUGGCCUGGGCUUGGCCUUUGGCAUCUUGGGAGUCAUCGUGGGCCCCAUCCUCUUCUUCAAGGCCAGGAAGAUGAAGGAGGACAAUGGUCUCCAUCGCAGCAGGGGACCCUUGUAACCCCUCUGAGCCAGGAGGCCUUUCUGCCCGGCUGGACCUCCACUUUCUGCAAGGAGGGCCUCCCUUCUCUGCCGCUUCUCCUUCCUGGACCAGACUGGCUUGCAAAAAUCAGCCUUGAGAACCUGCUCCUCGCUUGAAAACCGUCUGCUCUCCUCUGCUGAAAGCACCCAAAUUUCUCCCCAAAUUCCCAGAUCCUGCUGGGCUGGGUGUCCCUUGCCUCUUCCCAGGCCAAAAUGCAGAACAUGAAGCAUCGUACCUUCAGAAACAACCCACAGGGGCUCACAGAGAGAGAACACGGUUUCCUCUUCCAAAAUCAAGACCAAAAUUAAAGCUCAGGGGAUCGUUCUUUUCGAUUUGCUUAGAGAGGUGAUGGGAGAGGGAACCUUUCUACUUUGUAUUGAGAGCAGAGCGGAGGGUGAGCCCUGGCUGAACUAUUGCAAAUGCACUGACCUCUUUGGGGAAAUCUUUGCAAGCUGCAGCAAGGAAUCAAUUAAGCUUUGAAAAUUAUACCAAGAUGCAUCUCUGGUCCCUGAGAUGGAGAUUUGCACCCAGAUCUUCACUCUUGGCUGGAGCUGAGCCUAGAAUUUGAACCCUUGUCUCACAUUUGGUGACAGCGCUAGGCCUUGAGAUCUGGCCACUCGAAUUACUUUAACAGCCAGAAAUAUGUGUGCACUUUUGCAAAGGAAUUUUAAAAACGUUUGCUUUGGAUUAGAGGGUCAAUCUUGCAGCCUCCUCCGAAGGUUUUUGGACUGCAGCUCCCAGCUUCCCUCACACUUGGCUCUGCUGGCCAGGGGCUGCUGGGAUUUGCAGUGCAACACCAUUCCGACCCCUGUUCCUUGGAAAUUACAUUCUUUAUUCUGUGCCAGGUAGCCUCACUUGGAACACCUCCAUUCCUGACCUCUGGAGCUCAUGGCUCAGGAAGGAAGGGUCCCUGGCCUUUUAGGCAGAAGGAUCAUGGGGGGGGGGACUGGGGACCCCCUGCCCCAGGGGCUGCUGGGAUAUACAGAUUGCCUGGGGCUUUGAUCAGGCAGCAGGGGUUCAUCCUGGGUCUGUUUUGCUCAGCCAAAGAAGGGGGAGGCUUUGGGGAUUGAUGCAGGGUUAAGGGAUGUCUCUCUUGUGGCCAGAGGCCGGACAAGAAUGGCCAUAACCCCAGUUUGCAAUCCCAAACCCCAGCAGAGUCUUGCAUAGAAAACAAGUGCAUGCAACCCAUCUCCUUUGGGCUCCAGUUUCCAAAGUGGGCAGAAGAGAACUUCACCGGAUCCAGCCUGGCCAUUGGCUUCAUGUACAAGAUGCUCUUUGUUCAUAUCAAGCUUUCUUGCUUGGAAUAAAUGCUUUCGUAAGAAGGUCUCCUCCA